UACGAGGGGUGCAAGCGUUGCUCGGAAUUAUUGGGCGUAAAGGGUAGGUAGGUGGUCUCAUUUGUCGGGGGUGAAAGCCUUGUGCUUAACACAAGAAGUGCCCCCGAAACGGUGAGACUCGAGUCUUGGAGAGGGUUGCGGAAUUCCCGGUGUAGCGGUGAAAUGCGCAGAUAUCGGGAGGAACACCAAUUGCGAAGGCAGCUCGCUGGGACGUUACUGACGCUGAGACGCGAAAGCGUGGGGAGCAAACAGG
rnacentral:rRNA from 1 species